AUGCCAAGCAGCCUCCAAGCCCUUGGGCGCAACCUUCCACUCCACCGGUCCAAGAAAGCGAGCUAUAUACUGUCGUGCAAGGCCACCGAUGGCCGCCGUGACGUGCUCCUCCGCCUCGCGGGCGGAGUUGCGACGGCGGGCCUGUCCGAGCUCCGUGGCGCACUUGCGAAGCCCAUCCAGUCCCCGGACUUUGGCAAGUGCCAGCCAAUCGAUGAUCCCGACAAGAUUCCCCAAGUAAAAGACACCAUGUGCUGCCCCAAGUACGACGACAGAAUCCCAAUCCCCGACUUCAAGCUGCCCCCGCUCUCAUCGCCGCUCCGUGUUCGGCCAGCGGCCCACCUGGUAGACCGCAACUACCUCGCUAAGUAUGAGAAAGCCGUGAAGCUCAUGAAGGAGCUGCCCGAUGAUGAUCCCCGCAGCUUCUCGCAGCAGUGGCACGUGCACUGCGCAUACUGCGAGGGCGCAUAUGAACAGAUCGGCUACCCGAAACUGAAGAUCGAUAUACACAGGUCCUGGCUCUUCUUCCCAUGGCACAGGUUGUACCUCUAUUUCUACGAGAGGAUCCUUGGUAAUCUCAUCGACGACGACACCUUUGCACUGCCGUUUUGGAACUGGGACGCGCCCCACGGCAUGACCCUCCCGGUGAUGUACACCGAUGAUUGCUGGUGCCAAGAAGACUGA
rnacentral:rRNA from 1 species